UUCUCACUACUGCACUUGACUAGUCUAAAAAAA
rnacentral:scRNA from 1 species